rnacentral:rRNA from 1 species
GACGAACGCUGGCGGCGUGCUUAACACAUGCAAGUCGUACGGUAAGGCCCUUUCGGGGGUACACGAGUGGCGAACGGGUGAGUAACACGUGAGUAACCUGCCCACAACUUUGGGAUAACGCUAGGAAACUGGUGCUAAUACUGGAUAUGUGCUCCUGCUGCAUGGUGGGGGUUGGAAAGCUCCGGCGGUUGUGGAUGGACUCGCGGCCUAUCAGCUUGUUGGUGGGGUAGUGGCCUACCAAGGCGGCGACGGGUAGCCGGCCUGAGAGGGUGACCGCCCACAUUGGGACUGAGAUACGGCCCAGACUCCUACGGGAGGCAGCAGUGGGGAAUAUUGCACAAUGGGCGCAAGCCUGAUGCAGCAACGCCGCGUGCGGGAUGACGGCCUUCGGGUUGUAAACCGCUUUCAGCAGGGACGAAGCUUUUUGUGACGGUACCUGCAGAAGAAGCACCGGCUAACUACGUG